CCUACGGGAGGCAGCAGUGAGGAAUAUUGGUCAAUGGGCGCGAGCCUGAACCAGCCAAGUCGCGUGAGGGAAGACGGUCCUAUGGAUUGUAAACCUCUUUUGUCGGGGAGCAAAAGACGCCACGCGUGGCGUUCCGAGAGUACCCGAAGAAAAAGCAUCGGCUAACUCCGUGCCAGCAGCCGCGGUAAUACGGAGGAUGCGAGCGUUAUCCGGAUUUAUUGGGUUUAAAGGGUGCGUAGGCGGAGUGUCAAGUCAGCGGUAAAAUUUCGGGGCUCAACCCCGUCGUGCCGUUGAAACUGACACCCGUGAGUGAGUGAGAAGUAAGCGGAAUGCGUGGUGUAGCGGUGAAAUGCAUAGAUAUCACGCAGAACGCCGAUUGCGAAGGCAGCUUACCCGCGCUCAACUGACGCUGAGGCACGAAAGUGCGGGUAUCGAACAGGAUUAGAUACCCCUGUAGUC
rnacentral:rRNA from 1 species